UCUGUCUCCUCUCCAUUCCUCUCCAGAGCUGGCCUGGCCUGGGGCUCUGGUUUCUGCUCUGGUCACUGGAGGCCCCCAUGGCCCCCCGUCUCCUGCAUUCUGCUGCCCCAUCUCCCUGCCGCACCUGUUGCUGGAUGAGGAGCUCAGGGUGCCCAGGGGUGGAGAACCCCAGCUGACCGCAGAGUCUAGGUGAGCUGGUGAGGGCUGGGGUGUCAUGCUUUCCUCCCUUGUGGCAGAGCCAGGCAGAAGCUGCCUGCCAGGCCCUGGGCUAUUUUAAUGAAGUUAUAUUUGGGCCGAUUGGAGGUUUUAAGCUCAUGGGCGCAGGUUUCUCUGGGUUUCCUGUAUGUACAGUGCACCCUGCCCACCACCAAGCUCCCCUUGUCCAAGGCGUUGUGCAGUGGGAGGGGUGGGGGCAUAGGUUCUGGGACCACACUCCUGAGGUUUCAAUCCUGGCCCCUCAACUUCUUAGCCGGGGGAGGGGGCUUGGGCAAAGCAAUUUACCAGUUUGAGGCCUCACUUUUCUCACCUGUAAAAUGGAACUGAUAAUUGUACUUAGCUCCUAGGAUUGUCGUGAGGAAUAAGUGAGUUCAUACACGGAAGUGCUCAGAUUAGUGCCCGCACACUUGUACUCAACAAAUGUGAGCCACGCCGUUCUCCCCAUCAGAUCUCGUCAGCCAUCAUUGUCGGCAACAGCUAAGUGGAUAUUCCACUGCAUGAACCAGUCCUCAUGCCUGGCGGUUGUGGGGCUUCUGUGGUUAACAACUGUCUUUUUCUCUUUCUCCUUGUCUUCUGGCAACCAGCACUCUUUCCUGGGAGGGCCUAUUCCAUGGAGCUCUAAAGGUGGGGCAAAGCCUGCCACGGCCAUGUGACCCAGGCUUGGCCAGUCAGAGAACCCCAUUCCUCAGGCCACAGGGACUGCUCGGCUCUGGGAAGGUCUAUAACCGAAGGCAAGCGAAUGUCCUUUUGCUGCCUGAUGGAAGAUGAUCUCCCAUUCUUUGAGAUCUCAAGUUCUAAGGAUGUUGUAGGCUGGAAUCACUAGAAGCCUCCUUCUCCAGCUGCAUGAGGGAGGCUACCGUAGGAGAAAAUGAGGUCUCGUGUCAAGACCAGUAGAAAUAAGAAGAGAAGGGGAGGGGUGGAGAGAGAGAGAGCAAGAAAGGUACCUUGAAUCCAGCCAUGUUGGCACCCCUGUUCUGUGUGUGCUUACUGCUGAGCCCAUUAAUGACCUUUUGCACUUAAAGAGUUUUGACGUGGGUUUCUUGCAAUUGAAAGAGUCCUGAUCCAUCGUGGGGCUGGCUUGAUUACCUGGGAGGCCUGCUCUUGGGCUCACAAAACUCUGGCACACAGGAACUCAAAGUCUCCUCAACAGAGAACCCACUGAUGAAUUGAGAGGCAGAGUGGCUGGGUUGGAAACUUGGAGUCAGUGUGGAUUCAGCAGAAUAUGCCCCUUCCUGCCUGGAGUGGUCCUUGAGCUGGGCUUGAUUUCGGGGUCUUGGAGAAAGGAAGAAAGGAGUGGGCAAGACUUCCAGGUGAGCCAUCAGCUCAGAGGAGAGAAGACAUGAAAUAUAUCAGAACAAUAGUCUGGUUUGGCUAAAAUGUCAGAUCAGUGGGGAAAGGGAAACUGGAAGCAAUGAGGCUGGAAAAUUCUAUAAAAGUCAGAGCAGAGUGAGUCUUGAGUUUCAGGUCUAGGACUUGGAUUUUAUGGGCUGGACAAUAGGAAGUCAUUGAAGUUUGUUUGUUUCAUUUGCUUUGUUUUGUUUUUGAGUGGAAGUUGAAAGAUUCAGAGCUGUGCAGAGGAUGGUUAAUAUGUGGAGGCUGAAGUCAGGGCACUGGUUGGAAACCAGGUGAGAAAUACUGGCAGGCUGGCAUUGGAUGGAGGUCUAGCAUGGAGAUGUGUAUCUCAGUAAGUUGUUGUUUUUAUGCUCAGCAGCCACUCUCACUUCUGGUAAGGACUUCCCCAUUUUCCUUGGGGAAACCACCACUCCCUUGAACUCAGUCUAUAUGAUCUGGGUGGGACCAACCCCUCCCCACCGCCCCCCCAGACCUAGGGCAUGGCAUGUGACCUUGGCCUAAGCCAACCCAUAUAUCCAUCCCUCGACCACAGUAAAUGGUUCAACAAUGGCCAUGGGUCCCAGUGAAAGUCAGGCCCAUUCUUUUUGUAGGAUGAGUUAGGGAAAGGGAAUUCCAUUUUCUAGUGGACUCGUGCCUGAGGGGAAAUCAGUCCAGAGCUUCAGAGGCCCCCAGGAGACAGAAUGGAGUCACACAGAAGAAGGCAGAGUGACAUACAGAGAGGGUGAGACCAAGUCCGGACACAAAUUCCUUAGUUGUUUAAAAGAUGAGUCAGAGAUUCCCAGAUAGGGAAGAGUUGGGGAGCAUUCUUGGCAGAACUGGCUGGUGGCUAAAGUGAGAGAGGCCUCAGAGGGAGGUAGGUGGAGUCACAGGCUCUGGUGUCAACUGGCAAGUCCUUCAAUCUCUCUGCCUCAGUUUGCUCAUCUGAAAAGUGGACCCAGUGAUGUCUACCUUGUAAGGUUUGUAUGAAAAUUAUUGGCAGGACUUUUCUCCAAAGAGCCUGGCAUAUAAUUGGUGCUUAAAUAGUUGCUUUCCUACUGUUCUUUUUAGUGAUUUAUUAUUACUUUUCAAGGCAUGGAGGCAUGGAGGGCAUGGGGUGUGUGUCUAUUAGUCAUUUUUCAGCUGCAAGUAAAAGAAACCCAACUCAGACUGGCUUAAGGAAAAACAGAAGGCAAUUGUUGGCUCACAUAUGAGUACAGUCCAAGGCACUAACGGAUUUCAGGCAUGGCUAGAUGGAGGGGUUCACAUAAUAUCACCAGAAUACUGUUUAUCUCUCCAUCUUUUGCUGCUGUUUUCCAUGGUAUAGGUUCCAUUUCAGGGGUGUGCUGGAGCCAAUUGUAAAAUUCGGGAAUCUUACACAGUUAAAUCAUUGGUAGCGUGAAAUUGCCCAUGGUAGGAGUAUUUGUAUCAUGGAAAUUGGCAAACACUACAAAUCAGGGCCUUUUUUAUUUUCAUUUUUUUGUGGGAAAAGCGCUAGCUCACUGGCACAUGACUCUUCCAUUCUCCAAAAGGCACUUCCGUUGCAGUAGCAAGAUGGGCGCUUGCAGCAACUGGUUGUCAUCCCGCCAUCUCUGCAACCCAAAUGGAAAGCAAGUACUUCUUCCCCAGGGAUUCCAGCAACUGUCCCGGGGUUGGGCUCAUUGGCCUGGCUCGGACACAGGUCCAUUUAUGGAAUAGUGACUGGGGCCAGGGCACCAGGACACAGAGUAUACUCAUUGGCACAUGUCUUCUCUGGAGCUGGGAGAUGGGGUCGGCUCCACCUGAACCAUGUGGAUUGAGUGGGUGGGGAGGAUUCACUUUAUUGUAACAACCACAGAACCUGGCUGCCGAGAACGAGAACGGGAAGUGUUUAUUGCUCACACAUCUGUGGUUUGGCUGGAGGGCCUGGCCAGGCCCAGCUUGUCUGAGAAACUUCGCUGGGACAGCUCUCCUCCCAUUCUCUGUUUUUCUCCUCCUGGGACCAGCUGAUCAGCCCUGAAUGUCCCCCUGGGGUGCUGACAAAGUCACAAGACAAGAAACAGUGAUGCCCUUGCAAGGCUGAGGCUCAGACUGGGCACACCAUCACUUCCGCCUCAAUCUUUUCCCCAAAGCCACAGGACUGAGCCCAGAGCCAAGGGGUGGGGACAUAAACUUUGUUUCUUUAGUGAGAUAAACCAUAAAGUCUGAUGGUGAAGCAUUUAGAUGCAGAGAGGGGAGAAGGAUCGGGACCGUUGAAACAACCUAGCACCUUCUCUAAAGGAAACCAGGCUGGUGUCAUUAGCAGAAAUGGAAUGGAUGCUGAGAGCAGACCCUGAGCAAGGGUUUGAGCGUACAUUUAUUUGGGAGGUAAUGCCAAGACACAAUGAGAAGAAAGUGGGAGAAUGAGCCAAACCUCCUCCAACAGGCCAGCCUUUGGGGUCCCUCACCAGCUUCUGGGCUGUUCUCCCCCAGCCUGCUACCCCUUCAUUGAAAGAAACGUUACCUGCUUCCCUCAGCAGGAAAUGGAGUAAACAUCUUUAACUUUUCCAACGAUGCCAUUUUGAUGUUCUCUGGAAGUGCAGCUAAAAUCCAUUCCUUUUUUGGAAACUACUCAUUUUUGGCGAUUUGCUGCAUGCAGCAGACAGGGUGGACCAGCCCCACGUGGGACAGGCUCCAAGUGUCCCAGGAGCAACCCUGAGCAGAGGACCAUUGGGAAAUGGUGGAUGAAUCCUUCAGUUUUAUUAUUCCUUGGGUGGGACACGUCAGGCACGUCUCAGGGGUCUGGUUGGGACUGAACCCCUUUUGCCCACACCUGGAACCCGCUCAGUAACCCACCCUAUAUUGUCCACUUUCUCCUCCUGCCUCACCUCCCCACAUCCCUACACGUGCCUCCUGGGACCAUUUCCCUGAUAAGCUGCUUGUACUCACAUCCUUGUCUCAGGCUCUGCUUUGGGGGAGCUCAGACUGGGACACUCCUCUUGGCUUCUGAACUAGACUAUCUGGUAGGUUUGACAUGACGUCCGAUGGUGUUUUUUGUUUCCCAAAGGGGCUCAGCAGGGCCGAAGAACAGAGAACAUGAAAAUCCAAACCCAAGGAGGCUGAAGGGGAAACAUGUGCUGCGACCUCCCAAAUCUGUAUGUCCCACCCCCUGUCUCCUGGGCCCUAGACCCGGGCAUCCUCCUGGAUGGCUCCAGCUGGACCCCCAAGCUCAAAAUGUAACUUGUCAGUCCUCCCCACCCCUCAUACCCAGCAUGCCUCCUCUCCUGUCAUCCCUCACCCUGGUCUUGCCUCCCUAUAGCCCCUCCUUCUGAAACAACCCUGGCCACGUUUUUCCCUUCUGUGAAGCCCUGACCGUGGCUCCCCAUUGCCGUAAAGAGGAAAUCCACACUCCUGGCCAUGACCUUACAGGGCCCCGCAGGAGCCGCUCCCCAUCUGGUCUGCGGUCUCCACGCUCGGCCUUAGGAGCAGAACUGCCUUCAGGUCCCGGCAUCCACGUGCUCUUACCUGCAGGUCUUCGUGCAAGCUGUUCUCCCUGUCGCAACUGUCUUCCUCCCUCUUCCCCUGGCCGGCUCCGGCUCAAUCCUUUAGGUGUAGCCUAAAUGCCACUUCGAUGGAUUAGUAGCCUUGGAAUUCCGGGCCUGCGCGUUGAGAGCCCGUCUUCUCAUGAACCCCGGUGGUUACAUGAGUCCCCUGAAUUACGCUCGGUUACUUAAUCACCCCUGCCUUGGGAAAGGCAGACUCUCCCCAAGCAGGCCCCAUCUGAUGUGUUCCUGGGCGCGUAUCCCCGGCACCUAGGGCUGAAGCCUCUCUGUGAUUGCCUGGCGGGUGAAGCAGGGUGUGAAAGGGUGACUUUUCUCCAGCCUGGCCCGGAAGCCUGUAGUCGGAGACCUUGGCCUUGAGCUCUCCAGGAGGAGACAGAACUUUUACUUGGUGGCCUCUGCGUUCCCCACGACAUCUUCUUCAGGUCCUUAAUGGGAAGAGAGGGGAGAGAGAGGUGGAGAGGAGGAGGCAGGGCAGAGAAGAAAGCAAGCCCUAAUCCGUGGCCCAGAAGGAGUGAACAUUUCCAACCUUGCCACAUCUCUCAUCUAAGUAGGUCACACGGAAGAACUCAGAGUCCCUGUCAAAGUUUCAGGCAAAAACAAUAACUUGGUUUUGACCUUGCACUCUUCAAAAAGCAAGUUGCUGCUGAGCUCCAACAUCAAACAGAAUAAAUAAUUGUUUUUCUUUUUUGUUGUUAUGAUACGGAUCAUCUGAGCGGUUAGUGGUAAGCAAGCGGCUUUGAUUCGAUGCUGGCUCCCCAGCGCUCCGGCCUCUAUAUGUCAGCAGGCUCCUGUUUCCACCCCAGGAUAGCAGAAUCCCUUGAUUAAAUUCAUAUUUGUUUUAAUCUUUCCCUGUGUCUGAUCUCGAGCUCAAAGAUGGUCAGGAGAAAAAGCUAGCUGCCCCGCUGCGGCCGCGGGGAGGGCCCGUGUCAGGCCCCACGCUGUUCGCUCUGUCCAGCGCGAUAAGGCAGCCAGCCCACGGCGUCCUGUUGUGCCCACUGUGCCCGCCCUGGUUCCUGCACUGCCGGCGGCUGCCGGGACAGCCCACUGAGCCGCAGGGCCGCAGGAGCCGGCGGAGCGGGGUGGGGGGGCCAGGCAGCCGGAGGCGCCUACCACAGCCUCGGCUCGGACCCCGGUGCUGGACCCGCGGUGCAAGAAGUCUCUCUCAAAACUUUAAAGCUGGACAUCUUCUGGAUCUUCGGUGCACGGAGUGGAGUUUAUCACCCUGCCUGGUUCAUAGCGGACUGCUGUCAUUUGUCUGUGUUGGACACCUCCCCACCUGCAAGCCUCCCCCCACUCCGCCGGCCUGGAGGCAGCCUUCCCGUGUGCUGGGUAAAAUAUCCUCAAAUACAUAUUGUUGCUUUGUA